rnacentral:rRNA from 1 species
AGAUUGAACGCUGGCGGCAUGCCUUACACAUGCAAGUCGAACGCGAAAGUAGGGGGCAACCCCUGCGAGUAGAGUGGCGAACGGGCGAGUAAUACAUCGGAACGUGUCCAGUAGCGGGGGAUAACCUCUCGAAAGAGAGGCUAAUACCGCAUACGACCUACGGGUGAAAGAGGGGGAUUCGCAAGAACCUCUCACUAUUGGAGCGGCCGAUGUCGGAUUAGCUAGUUGGCGGGUAAAAGCCCACCAAGGCUACGAUCCGUAGCUGGUCUGAGAGGACGACCAGCCACACUGGAACUGAGACACGGUCCAGACUCCUACGGGAGGCAGCAGUGGGAAUUUGGACAAUGGGCGCAAGCCUGAUCCAGCCAUGCCGCGUGAGUGAAGAAGGCCUUCGGGUUGUAAAGCUCUUUCGGCGAGACGAAAAGGUCCGUAGUUAAUACCUCGGAUCCAUGACGGUACCCGCAGAAGAAGCACCGCUAACACGUGCCAGCAGCCGCGUAA